rnacentral:lncRNA from 1 species
AUAGACCAGCUAGGUCUACUAUCCUACUGGAACCUAUAGACCAGCUAGGUCUACUAUCCUACUGGAACCUAUAGACCAGCUAGGUCUACUAUCCUACUGGAACCUAUAGACCUACAACUAGGUCUACUAUCCUACUGGAACCUAUAGACCAGCUAGGUCUACUAUCCUACUGGAGCCUAUAGACCUACAGCUAGGUCUACUAUCCUACUGGAACCUAUAGACCUACAGCUAGGUCUACUAUCCUACUGGAACCUAUAGACCAGCUAGGUCUACUAUCCUACUGGAACCUAUAGACCAGCUAGGUCUACUAUCCUACUGGAACCUAUA